UACGAAGGUCCCAAGCGUUAUCCGGAUUUAUUGGGUUUAAAGGGUGCGUAGGCGGCUUAUUAAGUCAGUGGUGAAAGCUCCAUGCUUAACGUGGAAAUUGCCAUUGAUACUGAUGAGCUUGAGUAUAUUUGAAGUGGGCGGAAUGUGUCGUGUAGCGGUGAAAUGCUUAGAUAAUGACACAGAACACCGAUUGCGUAGGCAGCUCACUAAACUAUAACUGACGCUGAGGCACGAAAGCAUGGGGAAUCAAACAGGAGUUAG
rnacentral:rRNA from 1 species